rnacentral:sRNA from 1 species
UAAAUAUAUAUAUUUACGUACGUCGUUAAGUAGUUAAGUUUGAGCUAACGGUUGUAACCGAUCUAAAAUGAAAAAAUGGGUGACGAUUUUCACCUAAACUUUUCGGAUUCUUGCUGAAUCUUAACUAGAGUUUGGUAACUAUAUGGCCGGAUGUCAUUGUCGAAGCCAUCUAAUAUUGCGAGAUUUUGGCAGAUUUUCAAUGGAUCUCAACCAAAAUCAUAGUAACUGUGGUGUCUAGUUCCACAUGAACAAAAAAUAUCAUGCAUUUCCCCUAACACGUAGAAGUAGAAGAGGUAACGAUAAAAGUUUUGCCCAGAUAAAAAGAUAAAAGAGAGAGAAGAAGAAAUAAAUGUGGGAUUUUUAUUUAAAAAAGAAUUAAAUACGAGAUUGAUCAGAUUGGUGGAACAAAGCUGUAUAAAUUUGUUAGUUGUUAACUAGAGAGAUAAUUUUUUACGAAAUAGCGUAAAGCUGUACAGAAUUUGAUGUUACUUUUUUGAUUGGUAACUAUCAAAGCGGUAUGCCCUAUAUUAAAAUUGUAUUAAAAUUGUAUGAAGUUAUCAUUCAAAUUCCUAGUUUAACUUUUGGUCUAUGGGAAUUAGAUCCCUAAGUUUUACAUCAACAUAUCAUUUGAUCAUGGCAGUGUACACAAUAGAUUUUUCAUAUACUUUUGAUCAAUUGUCAAAAAAUUUAAUAAUAAAAUUUAAAAAUAAAUGAAAAAUGGUUGACACACUUGGACCAUUACAAAAAUGAGGAGCUCAAGAAUCCCAAGUGGUUUUCACUUUAUUCUUUACAAAUUUGUACCGCCAU